UUAAGUUAAUAAGGGCGCACGGUGGAUGCCUUGGCACUAGAAGCCGAAGAAGGACGUGACAAACGACGAAAUGCUUUGGGGAGCUGUAAGUAAGCGCUGAUCCAGAGAUGUCCGAAUGGGGGAACCCACUAACUAAUGGUUAGUAUCCAUAACUGUUAAGGUUAUGAGAAGGAAGACGCAGUGAACUGAAACAUCUAAGUAGCUGCAGGAAGAGAAAGCAAACGCGAUUGCCUUAGUAGCGGCGAGCGAAACGGCAGGAGGGCAAACCGAAGUGUUUACACUUCGGGGUUGUAGGACUGCGACGUGGGACUUUAAAAGGAUAGAAGAAUUACCUGGGAAGGUAAGCCAAAGAGAGUAAAAGCCUCGUAUUUAAAAUUCUUUUGAGCCCUAGCAGUAUCCUGAGUACGGCGAGACACGUGAAAUCUCGUUGGAAUCUGGGAGGACCAUCUCCCAACCCUAAAUACUCUCUAGUGACCGAUAGUGAACCAGUACCGUGAGGGAAAGGUGAA
rnacentral:rRNA from 1 species